CAGGCCACAGAGCAGGGCAUGCGUGCGCUGCUGGCCGUUGUGCGUGAGC
rnacentral:SRP_RNA from 1 species